GGGGACCUUGGUGGGGGCCUGGGGGGGUCCUGGGAGGGGAGGCCUGCGUGCGGAGACCUGAGUGGGUGCAGCUGAGUGAGGACCCGGGAGGGGGGCCGGGGGGCUCGGCCCGGCUCUGUCGUCUGCCUCCAACAACGCCCGUUCUGCACGGAGCCCCACGGCUCGACUCGCUCGCCAACGCCGCUGGCGUGAGCGUCCGGCCCCCUCGAAGGUCAUUUGACCAAAUUUGACACCAGCCUAGAAAACCUUUCUAGCCACGAAAUUGCACUUCGGGGAAACCAGCUCAAAGGAAUAAUUUGAAAGUCACACAGCAGACAGCGAGGAACCCCUCCAAGCUGCACUUCCGCUCCAACUUACGCGCUGCCCGGCUCCAAGAUGGCCGCGUGACGCACGACGUAACGCGGAAGCCCCGCCCCUCGCGACGGCUGCUCCUCUUCACGCCCCGCCCCUUCCGGCUUUGACCCGGAAGUGGCCUCCCAAGGCGGAAGUGAGCUGGCGAAGCGCGGCGGGCAAUUGAAACGUUGGAGGAUGGCGGGGUUGAGGCUGCAGGCCGUCGGGGGCUCGCCCAGGGUUUGGGUCCUGCUCAGAAGGCCUCCCUGCUGUGACACGUUAAGAACGACUUAGUGUCUCCCCACUGAAGUCCCCCUCCCCCAUAAUUAGAGCCUGUGGCUGUUUGGCUUGAAGGUACAAAGAGCUCAUCCGCUCCAUGAAGGCAGUGAGGUGUGAAGACACCGUCGGGAGAGAAAGGAGCCAGUUUCUCUAACACCUGUUGCCAUCCUCAAGCUGUCACAACAAAUCCCAACAACAGGGUGCCGGGCGCGUGCCCUGCCCCCUCCAGGCAUGAGCGCUCCGGGACAAGGUCCCCUCCUACCUGCGCGAGUGCGGGACCUCGCCAGUGCCGCCGACACGCUGGUGGUGCCCCUGAGCAGCCUGGCCCGCUGCACCCGCGCCUGCCACUCCCAGCAGCUCCUGAAGAUGUUCUGGCCAGGCGGUGUCCCCGUGGGGAACGACCUCCUUGGUGCUGACCGGUGGGCGGUCGGCGUAGAUGCUGCUGCAUGUGGCUAACGGCAUCCCGCAGGAGCUGAGGGCACACAUGCAGCCCUCCCUGCCCUCCAGCUUCUUCCACGGCGAGGAAAACUGGGUGCUGAAGCUGUUUCUAGAAGGCCUCUUGCACAAAACCGCCAUCCUCCUGGAUGUGGUGGGCAUGAUUAUGCAGGACCCAAGCAACCGACCAGGAGCCCGCCCUGCGUGAGUCCUGAUGCUCUCGGCCGCCAGCCGCGCAGUCACAGCGUGAGGCCACUCCUUGGCCCAGCUCCUGGUUCAGGCGACAGUCCUGGCCCCAGCAGGCAGGUCUGCGCUGGUCUCCUCUGAUAAAGCAGCAGAGAGCAAGCUGCUCCCAGAACCAGCAGACAGCUAGCCAUGCCUGCCCUGGCCGGCAUUGCUCCACCUCAUCAGAGGACGGUGUGUGCAGUCAGCUGCGAAGCCCAGAAUGCAAGGGGCCCUCCCUGCUCACAGAACCCCCACCAGCGCCGCCUGGCUCUCAGAGGGGAUUCUCAGCAGUCACUGCCCAGAGCUGGGUGCCACUCCAUGUCAGGAGGAGGCUGGGAGCCCGGGUAGGGCCCUGCCUUUGCAUCUAUGGGCCGGAUGCCGGGGCCACGGUAUGCUGGGCAAGGAGACUCGGUCCCCGCCACGAGCAUCUGUCCCCCUCGCCACCCUUAAGGUGCAUAUGCCUUUAAAGAUGCAGACCAGUAGACUCAGUGGCGACACACCGGGCCCUCUGAGUGGCACAGGCCUUAUCAGGAGGGGACCCCGCAUAGCCUGUGGACACAGUGAGACCAGAGCCAGCCACGUGCUGGAAUGUUUCAUGCUUGCGCAGGUGGUAGGCCCUGGGCCCUGACUACAUGAGUGAGCUGCUGUGCCUGUCCCUGAGCUUCGAGGGUCCAGAAACGCAGCCCUUCAGCCUCUUCCUGUCCCACGUGGUGGCAGAAACCUGAGUGGUGAGUGGCACCUGCCCCAAGGGCCUGUCUCCCAAUGGGCGGAUGGCAUGAACCACUUGUGGUGGUAGCGCAGGACUUGCACCCAAGGGCUCGGUGCUCCCCCACGUUGGGCCACCAGCCCUGGAGGACGGGGCUGGGCCAGUGCUGAGAUGUGUCUUUGCUUCUCAGGUGUCCCUGGGCAAAGUCGCUCGACCUUCAUUGUCUCUAAAGUAAGUGUCCACUGUGCAGCAGGGGGCGGCAGCACCUAAGGGCAAGAGUCCCGUUGGGGAUGGUGGGAUGUGCGGACAGCUGGCCACCUGGGACCACGGGGGUCUGUGAAAGCCACCGCAGGCUCUCCUGCCCCCACAUCCUGGCACAGGUGCCCCUUUCUCCACAGACCUUCAGGAGGCCGCACCUCGGCCACAAACCACCUGUAGCUGAGCAGAUUCGUGUCUGUCGUUUCCCUGGGAAGACACUGGAAUGCCCAGGUCAGCCGGCCAGGGGAGGGGCGUCCGGGCUCCCCAAGAGAGCCGGCCCUCGGGAGGUGCUGGGGCUGCCUCCUGGGGAAGAGACAGGCAGGGCUGGCGGUGCCCCGCCUGCCAGCGUGUGUUCAUGGGUUCAUGUGACCUCAGGUGCGGCUGGAGCCCCGACAGCUGUCAGGAUGCACUGCGUUAACCAAGGCCGGUUCCCCAAGACCAGGGCCGUCCGCCCACGACACCCCUGGAGUCAUUCUUUGUGUUUUUGCACACAUGAGUCUAAGAGCCUAAAUUAUUUUUGGAAAUCAUUUUGAAACUUUCAAAGAUUAUGUAAAAGCUAUCUGGUUUUUUGAG
ensembl:lncRNA